GCAGGUGCCUGGCCGCCUCUGGAGCUUUAUAGGGCGAUUAUAAAUCCAGAUCACGGGUUUGCGCCCGGAAAAAAAAAAAGGUCCUAUGAGUAAUCCAAAGCGUACUCAGCACGCUCUAUUUUUUUUUUUUAAUAGGGUGUCGGUGAGAAGAGGGAAAAGAUAAUUCCUACUAAGUAUUCUGCCUGGCUGAGCGGUUCUUUUUUUCCUCCGCCUCCCCUAUCUUGGAGGAGACUAGAGCAAUGGCUUUACCUCAUUCCCUUUCCCCGUGAGUCCCCCAGAUCUGCGACCACACAACGCUUCCUCCAGCGAAAUCGCUUGGGGUAGCGUCCUCGCCGGGUCCCCAGUGAGCCAGGAAUGCUGUAAAGGCGAAGGAGGCAGAGAGGAGGGGUCUCUAUCUCUUCACUCCAGUUUCCUCUGGCAGCUCGAGGCGUCCCCAAAGUACCUCAUCUGAGAACAGCUACCUGGUGCCACCAACGAAAAAGGGGCCCCCUUUCCCAUUCUCUAUGCGCUCCCUCCCGCGGUGAUAGGAAAAAAUUUCUCUUGAUUGAUCAUGUCUGAAGGUUAAUAACACGCACGAGCGCCGCUCCACAUGCAUGGGGAACCCCAGCACAAGGGACGUGCCCGGGUCCCUCUGCUCACUCCCUUUCGAUUUCACGCCCUUUAAAGAUUCUUCCUUUGCAAUAUUUAAGCCUUGAUGAACUGCUGCGUUGGGUAAACCCUUUACUGUAAAAAGCCGUUGACGGAAAAUCUCCCACCAGAGGGCGCCAAGCGCACAGAGACCGAGACUCCCCGCGCUCGAGGGUGGCUGAUCUGGAGCCCCUGCCCGCACCUGGAGGGGCUGAUCAGCUCCCUAACUUGCCUCCCUCCAAGCCUUCCCUCAGCCACCGCCUUGUCCAGUUUAUGUCCCCUCCUUUCUUCUCAGUUAUUUUAGGGCAAAACAAACUUGAUCUCCGAGUCUGGGUGACACCGCGGAUCAGUGAUUUCUUCCUUAUUUCCACGGUGACUUCCCCCCAGCUGCGAUGUAGGUAGUUGGGAUUAUUUAUGUGCAUAUCUGUGGCCUCGCUGGCUUACCCGAAGCUUGUCCCUUCUCUCUGAAUAUCUUAUCGCUUUUCACCACGACACAGUGGAAAGGCCCAAAAUCUUGUAAAUCACCGAAGAUUCUAUAAGGGAUUUCGAAGAUUCCACCCUGGAAAAAUAUAGUCCUAUCAGCAAGAGGAAUCUCCCGGAGAGGUUUGGAAUCACAGCGUUGCUUUUGAUAGUAAGGAAAAUACUGUCGCCUUUUUUCCACCUUACAGUAAAAGCCUGGGCACUUUUUAAGGAUACAAAAGCAUCUUGAACCACAGGGUGCAGGAUAAGGGCAGCCUGGGAGCAAGAGCUGAGGUGCGUAUGGGAUGGGUAAGGGGUAACCACACGGCUGUGUAGGAAACGUCCUCCCAAGCCUCUCACUCCCUUGAAACGAGCAAUUUACAGUGACGUGAAUUCGGAAUUUCAUCCACGCGCCCUCCUCCAGCUUUCCAUAAAGAGGUGCUCGAACCAAUCAGGGAGCUGGGUGUCAGAGCUAAGUCAUUCGAAUCCACGGGCAAGGAGACCUGCGAGGGAGGAGGAAACAGACCUUGGUGUCCCCAGAUGUCCCACUUGGAUGCUGGCUUGCUCUUUGUUCCCUCGACCUUCUUCCAAAACCCGAGAUUUCCUGUAAAGGAAGUUCCUCUUUACUGGCCUUUGAGGGAGGAAAAGCGCAGUGUGAAGGGCAUUAGAGUAAAUGACCUGAAUUUGAAUCCAUCUAUCAAUUCCCAGUUAUGCCUAUCAAUUGGUGCAGCAAAAUUUCUUCCUCUGAACGUGAAGAGGCCAGAAAAUGCCUAAAGAAUAAACCACACUGAGCAUUUUG